rnacentral:lncRNA from 1 species
GUUAAACAAGGUGCUCAAAGUCACCCAGCUGAGGAGGACUUAGCCCUAGUCUGUCUGGUCCAAAGUCCCUGCGUUUCCUGUGACAGCCUCCCCUCACGGUGCCGGUGACGCUGCUGGUAUAACAGGGCCUCAGAGAUGGGACGGCUCAGGAGAGAAACAGAAGCUGUGGAAGUUUCCAGGUGAUGGGGUGACUUGGAGUGGGGACUCCAGUGAGCAAGUGAGGAAGAAAGGGGAUGCUAUUCACCGGGACCCUUCAAACACCUGCACAUUCUGGAUCCUCUUUUGGAAACAAGCACCACUAUUCCGGCUGCUCUCAGGCACGAAAUCACAGCUCCAACCGUAUCAGAAGGAACACAAAGUCCGGCCUUUCAGAUGGGGCAUUCCCAGGAGGCAAGGUGCCAACAACCCUGCUUCACGGAGCUCUGGCACUCUCCACACGCCGUAUUCAGUCUCCACACACUGGCAGCUGUCUGGGGGCCACUGUCAUGGUCUGCCUUCAGCACCCUGAGAACAUGGUGCUCUCCACGCCUGCCUCCCUCCCAGGGCAUGGGAAACUUACCCCCUGAGUGGAAAUCACUGAUCCAGUCACUCGUACCUGACUUUAGCAGGAGUCACAAGGGCUCCAGGUGUGUUACACACAUGCGCACUCACAAACACACACU